AUUGAACGCUGGCGGCAGGCCUAACACAUGCAAGUCGAGCGGCAGCGGAAAGUAGCUUGCUACUUUGCCGGCGAGCGGCGGACGGGUGAGUAAUGUCUGGGAAACUGCCUGAUGGAGGGGGAUAACUACUGGAAACGGUAGCUAAUACCGCAUAACGUCGCAAGACCAAAGAGGGGGACCUUCAGGCCUCUUGCCAUCAGAUGUGCCCAGAUGGGAUUAGCUAGUAGGUGGGGUAACGGCUCACCUAGGCGACGAUCCCUAGCUGGUCUGAGAGGAUGACCAGCCACACUGGAACUGAGACACGGUCCAGACUCCUACGGGAGGCAGCAGUGGGGAAUAUUGCACAAUGGGCGCAAGCCUGAUGCAGCCAUGCCGCGUGUAUGAAGAAGGCCUUCGGGUUGUAAAGUACUUUCAGCGGGGAGGAAGGUGUUGUGGUUAAUAACCACAGCAAUUGACGUUACCCGCAGAAGAAGCACCGGCUAACUCCGUGCCAGCAGCCGCGGUAAUAC
rnacentral:rRNA from 1 species